rnacentral:lncRNA from 1 species
CGAAAUUAAAUUCCUCCUAAACAACUUCACUAAACCCUAUAAGGAACCACAACUCUGCCUUGAUUUCAAAUUAGAAAGUUGCUCCACAAUGCUAAUGGAAGACAAUGUAAUUGUUGAAGAAGCAUUAUUUGAAAUAUUGGAAGAGGGACCACAAACAGGUAAGCUUGCACCAAAUCAAUUGAUUUUGUAAUUUUCUGCUAUUAUGGACAUAAAAUAUUUGCAUUUUGUAGUUACUGAACCUCUUUACUGUACUCUAGUGUAGAAAGUCCAAAAUUUAGGGCAACUCUUUUUCAUAUACAUUUUUCCACGGCAUAUGAACAAAUUUAUGCACUUAUAUAUUCAUGUAUUUUAUCUAUAUUGGAAGAGUUAUUAUAAAACAUCUGAUUUUAGUUUUUUCCAAUGCAGCCAAUACACUUGAGGAUGAAGAAUUGAUACCUUUUGAAUACCAAUUGAUUGAGUAAGAUCAUGAUGUAAAUGAUCAUAAUUUUCAGUAUAACAAGAAUGCACCGAAACAUCUUAAGGUAGGGCUAAAUGCAGAUCCUACAAUCCAGUUUGAGAUGACUGUUGGUGAAGGAGAGUUUUGAUCAGAUGAUGCUUCAACCACCAUUUGAUUUCCAAUUCAUGCGAACCCCUUGAAUUGAUUUAGCGGUGGUUGCACAAUUGAACAACAAUGGCCCUCCACCUGUGUAGUUGCAAACUAAAAGUAGUCCACUUGAAUCCUUGAUGAAAGAGCUACAAAAUAUAGAGAAUCAAGAAAAAGCAAGAAAGAGGACAGCCAUGAUAAAAAAUAAAAGGGUCGUUCAAGGGACAGUUCCAUAUGCACUACCAAGAACGAAGAAAAAUCCAGCAUCUCAGUAGCAACUCAGCAAAAUUCACAAGCCACUUAUUCAUUUAGAUACUGGUUUGACAAUCGUGAAGUAAUUUUAUCAUUGAAGAUAUUUAUAGUAUUAUGUUUCUUUUUGCGUAAAAUUGCUAGAAAUAUUUGAAAGUUGUAAGUUUAGAUUAAUGUGCCUAUGGUGCUUCAUGUGCUUUUGCUAUCAGACAUCAUCAUUUUCUGAAAGGCAUGAUCCUUUUGUGUAUUACACGAUCCUUUUGCUAUCAAAC